GCAUGCUCAGCAACCAUCUGAAAGCACAGGGACGUAACCGAGAUGCCGCAGCAUCCUCCUUGGUGACAGAGGACACGGUCUCAUUAGGGAACUUUUAUAGUUCAGAUUAAUUUGCAGAAGAUGCCAUAGACAUUAGCAGAAUGACACAGCGCUAAGCAUUAUGCAGUUGCAAUUCACAUUAUAACAGGACUGAGCACACAGGGGCCUCUUAUGGCUUGACCUAGGCCUGAGGUACAUGUGGUCUUCGUAGUUUGCUGGAAUUAUCCAGCUCUCCUAUUUGACCUCUCCAAAGGGAGUUAUUUGCAUGAUGCUGGAUUCUCAAGUCCUGGUUUGUCCCCAGGAUGGGGAGGAGGGAUGGAACCCAAGGCCUUGGGAUGUGCUAGGCAAGUCCUCUGUCACCAGCUAUUCCCUUGGGCCCCAGUUUAUAAUCAUCAAUAAUAAAGCGGCAGGUGGAUGGCAUUCUCUUCCUAUGUGCACUGUGAGAAAAUACUUAAAGUUCCUAUCUAGAGGAAAUCAGGCCCUAGUGUUGACAUGACUUGCCAAGCCCCAGUUUAUAUAAUUGAAAAAAGCACUAAGUCCUUUAGAUACCUUCCACUUUGCUGUGGACGGAGAAACACCGGCUUAAGUGAAAUAUGCACCUCUUCAUGACUAGCAGGAAAAGCUUCCUUAGGUACCAACAGCCCACGACUCUGCGGAGUCAGCUGCAUACUUAACCUGGACACUUCCACUGUAAGCUUCAAAAGGCAACUACAUAGUGCAAAAAGCAGACCUUAAUUCUUUUGAAAAAACAAUUUUAUUUUGGCUUUGUAAGACUGUGAAGACUUCUGUUUGUUCACUAGUAAUCACUAAAAUGCAAAUAAAUUCC
rnacentral:lncRNA from 1 species